UUUUAACAGGGGUGUGUAGACUUUUUAUGUCCACUGUAACUGUGGCAUGUUUGUUUGUGUCUGUCAGCCCCGGUAUCAGAGUCCACAUUGUCUCACAUCUGUCUGCCUCAUGGAGAGACCAUGAUCACAUGCUUCUCACAGGGAGAUAGUCUUCAGUUCAGUUGGACCCUAAACAGUCAGAAUCUGACCCGGACUUUAGCCUCUGGACACUACCAGAGUAGUGUAAUCACCCUGAAAACUGAUGUGACAGGAAACCUGAUCUGUUUGGCUCAAAAUGAUGUUAGCAGCAGCAGCUCCAGUAUUAAUCUCCCGGCAUGUCCAGUUGUCUCCUCACAGUUUCAUUCUGUAAUUGUGACUGUUGGCCUACUUGGAUCUCUUAUACUGCUCAUCACAAUCCUAUUCUGUAUAAAGCGUCUAUGUGGGAAACUAAGAUUUAGAAAUACUACUUCAGGUUGGACAAACUAUGAUGGGGCUGCUGUUGUAGGACUAUAUUCUGAUGAUUUAUUUACAAGACAUAAAGAAGUGAACCAGAGAGUCCCAGCAACAGAGGUGCAGUAUGGACAAAUGAAAAUAGCUGUUAGUCUUUUUGAGGAUGUGAGCCCUGAGAGUCAUGGUUACAUAGAGAAUGGGAACCAAACAUUUGAGAAAUCGCUAGUAACAACCUUUGGCAGAACUGAGUAGAAACUGGUACUGUAUUUGACUGUU